ACACUGGAACUGAGACACGGUCCAGACUCCUACGGGAGGCAGCAGUGGGGAAUAUUGGGCAAUGGGAGGAAUCCUGACCCAGCGACGCCGCGUGAACGAAGACGGCCUUCGGGUUGUAAAGUUCUUUUAUGUGGGAAGAAUGAAGUGACGGUACCACAUGAAUAAGCCCCGGCUAACUACGUGCCAGCAGCCGCGGUAAUACGUAGGGGGCGAGCGUUGUCCGGAAUUACUGGGCGUAAAGGGCACGCAGGCUGUGCUUCAAGUCAGCUGUAAAAGGAUGCGGCUUAACCGUGUUAUGCGGCUGAGACUGAGGUGCUGGAGUACCGGAGAGGCAAGUGGAAUUCCCAGUGUAGCGGUGAAAUGCGUAGAUAUUGGGAAGAACAUCGGUGGCGAAGGCGACUUGCUGGACGGUAACUGACGCUGAGGUGCGAAAGCCAGGGUAGCGAACGGGAUUAGAUACCCCGGUAGUCCUGGCUGUAAACGAUGAAUGCUAGGUGUGCGAGCAGAGAUGUUGGUGUGCCGCAGUUAACGCGAUAAGCAUUCCGCCUGGGGAGUACGGUCGCAAGAUUGAAACUCAAAGGAAUUGACGGGGGCCCGCACAAGCGGUGGAGCACGUGGUUUAAUUCGAUGCAAACCGAAGAACCUUACCUGGGUUUGACAUGUAUGUGGUAGGAGAUGGAAACAUUGACGACGCUGCUUUCGGGCAGUGAGCAUACACAGGUGCUGCAUGGCUGUCGUCAGCUCGUGUCGUGAGAUGUUGGGUUAA
rnacentral:rRNA from 1 species